GUAGGUGAACCUGCGGAAGGAUCAUUAGCAUUAUUCCAACCAAACUCAACGAAUCCCUAAGUUGUUGGCUUCGGCCGGCAGCCUACAAACCUAAUCCAAAAGCAAUCUAACUGAAACCAAACACCGAAGCAAAAGUCUAGACGGUGGAUAUCUUGGUUCCCACGACGAUGAAGAACGCAGCGAAGUGCGAUAAGCAGUGCGAAUUGCAGAACCGUGAGUCAUCAGAUUUUUGAACGCAACUGGCGCCAGUGGGCUCGCCCACAGGCAUGCUCGUUUCAGUGUCUUGUUUUCUCCUCACCCAAAUCUUAAUGCGACAGAUACCCUUCUGUUGUAAAGCAGGAAAGCACUCUGCACUCUACGAGUGGGCUUCGGCCUACACCCGAUGCAGCAGUCACAUUGCUCGCAAUGUGAACUCAUUGGGAGUGGAGGCGGCGCAUCUAAUGCCAGUGCUUAGACACACUAACUCUUAAAUGUAUCUGAGAUCGAGUAGGACUACCCGCUGAACUUAAGCAUAUCAGU
rnacentral:rRNA from 1 species